GUCACAUUAAAUAUUCAUAAUAUAGGAAAACCUUGGAAUUUUUGCCAGCCUGGAAUAUAAUCCAUGAAGAAUCCAUGCUUUUUUGGCUGGAAAGCCACCUCUGGGGCAGGAAGAGCAAGACUGAAAGGAGGGGAGCAAAACCUCAGGCCAAGCCAGAUCAAGACCGAAAGCUUUUCAUGGAGAUGCCACAUACAGGGCACUUAGGAAGAUGGGACCUGGAUGGAGGUUUCAGCUAGAAAGUUCUGGCACAUUCACAGUAUCUGGCCCUCUGGCCCAGCCCAUCCGGGCCUGGGUGGGGGAAGACGUCCAGCUCUCCUGUCACCUCUCCCCUAAGAUGGAUGCUCGGGGAAUGGGUGUGAAGUGGGUCAGAGGCUCACUGGUUGUGCACAUGUACCACAUGGAUGGAGGAAGUCCAAGCCCCUGCAUUCCAAGGGAGGACAAAGAUGCUGAGAGAGGACAUGGCUGAGGGGAAGGUGACCGUGAUCAUCCAUCAGGUCCAGUUCUCUGACUCUGGCCAGCACACACGUUAUUUCCAGACAGGCCCCUUUUACAAUGAAGCCAGCUUUGACCUUCAGGUACCAGAACACCAGAAAGGAGCAUUCUCAGUGACUGGCCUUGCUCAGCUCAUUCAGGCCAAGCAGGAGGAAAACGUCACACUCUCCUGUCAACACUACCCUAAAAUGGAUGCUCGGGCCAUGACUGUGAACUGGUUCAGAAACCAGGCCCCACUGGGGAGAAGCUGGAGGAAUCCCAGGGCACUAGGGAAGAUGGAGCUGCUGAAACGUGACAUGGCUGAGGGGAAGGUGACCUUGAGGAUCCAGCAGGUCCAGGUCUCGACUCUGGUCAAUACACUUGUCGUGUCCAGUCACCUGACAAUUAUGAUGAAGCCCACAUUGAACUGCAGGUAGCAGGAUCCUUCAGGCUUGGGGUUUCCUACUAGAAGAUGAUGGAGGCCUUCUCUCUCUCCUGGAACACAAAAAUGGGGAUGAUUUUAUUCUCUCUUUCAAAGAUGCCAGGACUCAGCUGGCCCUCAAAAGCCACAUACUGAGUGGUGUAUGAAGAGUCUGAGGCCUUCUUGACUGUCAUCUGCUUGACUUCCCUCAUCAUUGGCCUAGUGACAAAUGUUUUCUAGAUGCCUUCUCCAUGCCCAGCCCUGUGCUAG
rnacentral:lncRNA from 1 species